UUUGGUGCAUGUAAUUGUAAUAACCCUAUGUUCAAAUUCAGCUAUAAAUGCAUGAAUCUUGUAGCGUUAAAACCUGAGGCAAGGAGAAGAGUAGUGUAAAAUGGCAUCACUCAAAGCUGAGAUACCUGUUGAGAAAUCUUGUUGCUCUCAACCAUCUGCAGGACAGGUGAAGAAAGAGUCUUCUGCCAAACCUAGUUCAGGCACUUCCAAAGCCACAGCCUCCAAACCAACCCCAAAGAAAACUCCAAGCCAGAAUAGGAAGAAGGCAAGCAGCAAUAAAUAAGCUGAAGAUGUGAGAGUGAAAAGUACGAAUGGCUAAAAAAUAGUAGUUGGACUUGGAAUUAUGGGAGGAGUCCAUAAGGAUAAUGUUAUAUGGUGCUCUUCAACCAUGAUUAUACUAAGUAGUGCUAUUGUCUGUACCACUUGUUUAUGUUGUUUCUUUGUUAUGUAACUCCAAGAUGCCUUGGCCUAAUAAAUAAAAUAUACUUAUUCUAUGA